rnacentral:rRNA from 1 species
GGACUACUGGGGUUUCUAAUCCUGUUUGCUCCCCACGCUUUCGCGUCUCAGCGUCAGCAACGAUCCAGAGGGCCGCCUUCGCCGCCGGUAUUCCUCCUGAUAUCUACGCAUUUCACCGCUACACCAGGAAUUCUACCCUCCUCUAUCGCGCUCCAGCCGGCUAGUUUCCGAUGCCCUUCCGGGGCUGAGCCCCGGGCUUUCACAUCGGACUUGACCGACCGCCUACACGCCCUUUACGCCCAGUCAAUCUGAACAACGCUUGCACCCUCCGUCUUACCGCGGCUGCUGGCAC